GACGAAGGACCCAAGCGUUAUCCGGAUUCAUUGGGUUUAAAGGGUGCGUAGGCGGGUUGAUAAGUCAGUGGUGAAAGCCCAACGCUUAACGUUGGAACUGCCAUUGAUACUGUCGAUCUUGAAUGUGUUUGAUGUGGGCGGAAUAUGACAUGUAGCGGUGAAAUGCUUAGAUGUGUCAUAGAACACCGAUUGCGAAGGCAGCUCACAAAGCCACUAUUGACGCUGAGGCACGAAAGCGUGGGGAUCAAACAGG
rnacentral:rRNA from 1 species